rnacentral:lncRNA from 1 species
UUUUCUUUCUUUCCUUCUUUCUUUCUUUCUUUUUUCUUUUUUUAGAGUCUCGCUCUGUCGUCCUGGCUGGAGUGCAGUGGCAGGAUCUCGGCUCACUGCAAGCUCCGCCUCAUGGGUUCACACCAUUCUCCUGCCUCAGCCUCCCGAAUAGCUGGGAUUAUAGGCAUCUGCCACCACGCCCAGCAAAUAUUUUUGUAUUUUUAGUAGAGACGGGGUUUCACCGUGUUAGCCAGGAUGGUCUCGAUCUCCUAACCUUGUGAUCCACCCGCCUCGGCCUCCCAAAGUGCUGGGAUGACGGGCGUGAGCCAUGGUGCCCAGCCCCUGUGCUACUUCUUUAAUCAGCUAAAAUAGGACAUCCUCAAAAAGGAGGUGCCCCCAGGUGCUACCAUCAAAACCUAUGCAUCUGUACAUAAUGCUCCACACUGUUUGGGAAUUAUUUCCUCUUCUUUAUUUCCCUUUUCCAUUUCAUUCAACUUUGGAUCUCUGGAAAUUAGCAUCACGCCUGACACUCUUAAGUGCUAAGUAAUAAAUGCAUCCAUUCACUGAACACAGCUAUGGUGUUAAUGCUGUGAACAGAAAGAUGAAUCAGUCAGUCUCCCUCUUACAAGUCUCUGACCUUAUUGCUAUGAACAUUAUUUCUAAAUAUACUAUCACUGGACAAAACCAACCAAAACAAAAACAAAAGUAUUCACCCAGAUUCGCCUUGAAACAAGUGAGAGGUCAAACUACUUCAUCUGGUUCGUAAACAAAAAAAGCAAACAAAGAAUAUUAUAGCAAUGUAAUUUUCAAUUUAGCAUACCACACCUUAAAACUUCGUAUGUUUUUAUGAAGUUGACUUGGAAGUGAGAUGGAAUCUAAUCAGGAUUAAAAUUGCGAUAGUUUGAUUUUUUUCUUCAGCAUACAAAAGCUUGGGGAAUUCUAGAAAAACAAGUUGUGGUACAUGGAACAAAAGCAAGAACAAAAGCUGUGACCAAUGCCUCAUACAUGCAAGGACCGCCGGGAGUCAUAAUCACAGAGUGGGGUUUCUUGUCGACUUCCUUCCUUCCCAUGAGGCUUUAAAAUUAAAUGCUGAGGUAUGUUUCAGAAGGACAACUACUCCAAGGAAUUAUGUUCAGGAGACCAAAUGGGUACUUUGUAAUGUCUUCAAAUUCAUACCUCCUAAGAAACAGAAUCAAAAGUUUCACGAUUGAGGCUCCAAAGAUAAGUGACAGAAGGAGGGGGCGGGAUGCCUCUUUUGGACCUUAGAGGUCCUCCUUGGAGACACUGUGGCAUUCCCAUGCACCCCAAAGGAAGGCCUGAGCUCCCCCAAGUCCUGGGAUGCUAACCUUCAACCCUGUCAGCUCCGCUCACUGUCUAGCUGCAGGACCAAGCGGAACUGCGCAGCAGGGAAUGCUCUUCUGCAACAGUGAGCGCCAACAAAAGAAUUCUAGACCAAGAAAACACUUUCUCAAAGGACAUAUUUUAGCUCAAGAGAGGAUAAAUCUUACUAAAUGAAGGCUUUAGUUUGUUUGAAAGGCACUAACAUGUCUGCCUGUCAGAAAAUCACGAAAAUUACUUUGAAUGACAUGUUUCUCAUACUGAGUAAUUUCUGAGAAAAAGGAAGUCAGUUUCCAACAAUACAGCCUCAAGAUUCUAAAUCUUAGCACCAAUAAUCCAAACACAAAAGCUGUAAUUCAUACAUGAAGCAGAAUUUUAACAGUUGGCCUUGGAAGAAAUUAGGUCAUUUUCAAGUUCCCUAAGUACAAGUCAGUUGAAACAGAUAAAAAAUGGAGUUGAAAAUUUUAAAAUAAGUUUCAACUCAAUGUGAACUCAAGAAUUCCUGCUUUCUCUAUAAAAUAGGCAUCAUUAUACUGUAGUAGGAUCUGUAGCACAAAAUCUUUUCUUGAGCCUAUUAAGUUUGAUAAAACUUGUUACCCAUACUGAAAAUUUUAUUUCUACUUUGUCCAGUUAACUUCCCAUAAAGAAAAUUCCUGAUCAAUGACUACUAACUACAAACUGCAGUUACUUGUAAUAAAAAUAAUUUGGCAAAAAACAAAGCAGAGCAGCCUCCUUCAACUGCCACUACAAACGAAGCUACAUAAUUUAUAAGACAAAUAAUUGUGCCAGUUACAUCAUAGUAUACAAAUACAUUCAAAGAUUGAGACCAUCCCUCCCUUUAGGGGAUUAGGAAGAGAACACAGGAAAGAUAUUUACAUAACAGGAACAUUUCAUUCAACCCCACUGUCUUGCCCAUCUACUCUGUUGGUUACUAGAAGACGCUAGGCAUGUAAAGAGAAACUGGUUUUCAGAGUAUUUGUAACUCCAUGAAAUUGCACGCAAAUUUACAUGCAUACACUAUACACACUUUUUUCGUUAGGGAGAAUAAUGCCUAUCUAAAGGGUCCACAAUCUCCAAAGAUUAAGAAAUGCUGAUACAAACAAUAUAUGCUGGCGAGUUCCCAAUAAAUAUAUUACUUACAAAUAAAGUGGCUAAGAAAGGCAGACAAGCAAAUAGAUGUUGCCUACGCCACCAAGGGUGGGCAAAAUGCAUAGGUCAAAGCUCAUAGAAAUGGUGCUGGACGUGGUGUGAGGGUGAGCUGGGACCAAAGCUAUAGAGGAAUGUGGAUGUCAGGAAGAAUGUGAGACGCAGAGUCGAGGCUGCUCGGGCAAGCUGGCAAUGCACCGCUGGGGCUCACGCACAGCCCAAGAAUCAGGCUGCUCAAGCCCCACCAUCACCACUGACCAUGUGGCCUUAACCAACUUUCCUAACUUCAUUUUCCUAUAAAAAGUAGUGCUAUCCAUGUCAUCUAUCUCAGACCAUUAUUCUAGAGAUUAAAUGAGAUCAUAAAUGUAAAGUGCUCAGCACAGCACCUGGCAGGCACCAAUACUCAAUAAUUUUCAUUGUUAUUACUACUGCCAAUAUGGCUAUAGUAGUAGAUAGUGACCAUCAUCAAUGUCAUCCUUCCACGAAAUGUCCAUUUUAAGGCACAUAUGUGCUCAGUUGCAUGAUGCAUCUUAGGCCCCCUGCCACACUCCUCCUUUAUGAUGUUGAGCCUGAGGGUUUACAGGAAAUUCUCACUUUUCUUUCCUAUAUCACCCUCACCUGUUUCGACCUGCACAAGAAAGAGGUUGGCUGUUUGCUCCCACAGGGCCCCACCAAUGCCUCAUCCCAAAAUGUCCCCUUCUGAGCCAACCAAGAUGUGAGGAGCAAGAAAAGCUAGAUUUGGAGGCAAUAUGUUAGGCAUUCAGUAGCAAAUACUAAAACCACAACUUAGAAGACAAAAUGUGAAGAGUCCAGAGAUAGAAAGCAAAAAACAGGUGAUCACAGAACUCCUUCUCAGCUCCAUUUUCCUUUGUGUUAGUUUCAUCCUAUCUCGACAGUUCCACCCAAAGACUCAAAGGUAAUUAUGGCUAGACCUGGGGCACUGGUCCACACUUACUCAUCCAUUCCAAAAGCCAGAGAAGCCAAGAAUGAGGCAGGUGGCCUCCCUGCAUCCGAAAAUAACGGCAUUAUUGGCUGGGCGCAGAGGCUCAUGCCUGUAAUCCCAGCACUUUGGGAGGCUGAGUGGAUCACCUGAGGUCAGGAGUUCAAGACCAGCCUGACCAACACGGUGAAACCCCAUCUCUAAUAGAAAUACAAAAAUUAGCCGGGUGUGGUGGCGCAUGCCUGUAAUUCCAGCUACUCAGGAGGCUGAGGCAGAAGAAUCACUUGAACUCAGAAGGUGGAGGUUGCAAUGAACUGAGAUUGCACCACUGCACUCCAGUGAGUAACAGAGAGAGACUCUGUCUCAAACAAACAAAAAAGUCAAGUGGCAAGGAAAACGGUAUUUCAACAAAUUUCUCUGAAUUGGGGUCAUUUUUCUGAAGAAAAAGGAGGUGGGGGCUUCUGCUAAUAAGAAAAGGAUAGGGAAGAUGAAUGCUUGGUAGGAAACCAUCAAUGUCAACUAUAAAUAGCAACAGGCAGCAUUUUAAUAGUGUUUCACAUAUGCCUCAUUAAAGGAGAGAGACUUAAGGGUGACACAAUUUCUCAGUGUGCUGCUGCUGCUUCAGUGGUAUAGGAAUGAUUUCACAUUUACCACUAUUUCAAAUUAAAAGCAUUACUAAAUAUGUAUGUGCUAACUGUAGUCCCAGAACAUACCAUAUAAUAGAAAUGUAC